rnacentral:rRNA from 1 species
CCUACGGGCGGCAGCAGUGGGGAAUAUUGGACAAUGGGGGGAACCCUGAUCCAGCCAUGCCGCGUGUGUGAAGAAGGCCCUCGGGUUGUAAAGCACUUUCAGUGAGGAAGAACGCCUGGUGGUUAAUACCCAUCAGGAAAGACAUCACUCACAGAAGAAGCACCGGCUAACUCCGUGCCAGCAGCCGCGGUAAUAUGGAGGGUGCGAGCGUUAAUCGGAAUUACUGGGCGUAAAGCGCGCGUAGGUGGCUUGAUAAGCCGGUUGUGAAAGCCCCGGGCUCAACCUGGGAACGGCAUCCGGAACUGUCAAGCUAGAGUGCAGGAGAGGAAGGUAGAAUUCCCGGUGUAGCGGUGAAAUGCGUAGAGAUCGGGAGGAAUACCAGUGGCGAAGGCGGCCUUCUGGACUGACACUGACACUGAGGUGCGAAAGCGUGGGUAGCAAACAGGAUUAGAUACCCUAGUAGUC